rnacentral:rRNA from 1 species
UACGAAGGGGGCUAGCGUUGUUCGGAUUUACUGGGCGUAAAGCGCACGUAGGCGGAUUCUUAAGUCAGGGGUGAAAUCCCGAGGCUCAACCUCGGAACUGCCUUUGAUACUGGGGAUCUCGAGUUCGGGAGAGGUGAGUGGAAUUGCGAGUGUAGAGGUGAAAUUCGUAGAUAUUCGCAAGAACACCAGUGGCGAAGGCGGCUCACUGGCCCGAUACUGACGCUGAGGUGCGA